rnacentral:rRNA from 1 species
CCUACGGGCGGCAGCAGUGAGGGAUAUUGGUCAAUGGGGGAAACCCUGAACCAGCAACGCCGCGUGAGGGAAGACGGUUUUCGGAUUGUAAACCUCUGUCCUCUGUGAAGAUAAUGACGGUAGCAGAGGAGGAAGCUCCGGCUAACUACGUGCCAGCAGCCGCGGUAAUACGUAGGGAGCAAGCGUUGACCGGAUUUACUGGGUGUAAAGGGUGCGUAGGCGGCUUUGCAAAUCAGAAGUGAAAUCCAUGGGCUUAACCCAUGAACUGCUUUUGAAACUGCAGAGAUCGAGUGGAGUAGAGGUAGGCGGAAUUCCCGGUGUAGCGGUGAAAUGCGUAGAGAUCGGGAGGAACACCAGUGGCGAAGGCGGCCUACUGGGCUCUAACUGACGCUGAGGCACGAAAGCGUGGGUAGCAAACAGGAUUAGAUACCCUAGUAGUC